rnacentral:rRNA from 1 species
UACGUAGGGCGCAAGCGUUGUCCGGAAUUAUUGGGCGUAAAGAGCUCGUAGGCGGCCAGUUGCGUCUGCUGUGAAAUCCCGGGGCUCAACCCCGGGCGUGCAGUGGAUACGGGCUGGCUAGAGGCAGGCAGGGGAGAACGGAAUUCCCGGUGUAGCGGUGAAAUGCGCAGAUAUCGGGAGGAACACCGGUGGCGAAGGCGGCUUUCUGGCAUACAACUGACGCUGAGGCGCGAAAGCGUGGGGAGCAAACGGG